rnacentral:lncRNA from 1 species
GUUAAGGAACAGCUCUUUUAGAUGCUUAUUCUUUCUUUUCUUAAACUCCAAAUCAUUAGGAAAGACCGAAAACAGAACAGUGGUGUGGAUGAAGAGAGUGACACUGUGGUGGAAGGUGAUGUGUUGGAAACUGCAGAAGGCUCAAAGAAGAAACCUGGAAUGAAGAACACCACCUAUGAAGUAUUGCCAAGGAAUGAUGAAAACACCUACACCACCCCGAGGCACAGCUCCCAGGGGGACGACUCGAGCAGGGUUUACACUCGCAGCGGGAGACAGGUCAGACCCCCCAUGAACUUCUGGUGUGGGCAACGAGCUUUUGUGGAUCGGAACCUUGAUGUCACCCUGGAAGAGGGUGGUGUGGAUUAUCUCAGCCUGAUGCUUAGUAGUGAAAAAUCCCACAAAAAGACCAGUUUCCUCUCUAAGAAGAACAAACCAAAGGAAGUCAUGAAGACAACAGAGGAAAUGCCAAAAAGCCAAAAUAAAGGUAAAAACUUUUUUUUCCCUAUCUUCAAGUGAUUGAUGGAAUCAGUGGGAUUGUGAGUUGGGUGCUGGAGCAGUGGGGUGGGGUCUGUUAACGCAAAGGAUUUAUUUAAGUCUUUUAAUGGUCAGCUGCUUUUUCUCUGAAGAGUCAUCAGAGCAGCACUGAUGUGUAGUUUUACAGCUCCACAUAUAAACUGUGCUUGUCAAAGUGUUCUCUAACUGCAUAAUUGGGACACACGUUUCUUUUGACACACUGAAAUGAAGGGAUCCAGUGACUUGGGGGCCUGGCUUUGCUUUUUAAUGAGGAUGAAAUAAAAGACAUGACAUGCCUGUGUAGGCGUGGAAA